GAUGAACGCUGGCGGCGUGCCUAAUACAUGCAAGUCGAGCGAACAGACGAGGAGCUUGCUCCUCUGACGUUAGCGGCGGACGGGUGAGUAACACGUGGAUAACCUACCUAUAAGACUGGGAUAACUUCGGGAAACCGGAGCUAAUACCGGAUAAUAUAUUGAACCGCAUGGUUCAAUAGUGAAAGACGGUUUUGCUGUCACUUAUAGAUGGAUCCGCGCCGCAUUAGCUAGUUGGUAAGGUAACGGCUUACCAAGGCAACGAUGCGUAGCCGACCUGAGAGGGUGAUCGGCCACACUGGAACUGAGACGCGGACCAGACGACUACGGGAGGCAGCAGUAGGGAAUCUUCCGCAAUGGGCGAGAGCCUGACGGAGCAGCGCCGCGUGAGUGAUGAAGGUCUUCGGAGCGUAAAACUCUGUUAUUAGGGAAGAACAAAUGUGUAAGUAACUAUGCACGUCUUGACGGUACCUAAUCAGAAAGCCACGGCUAACUACGUG
rnacentral:rRNA from 1 species